rnacentral:rRNA from 1 species
AGCGAACGCUGGCGGCAGGCCUAACACAUGCAAGUCGAACGGACCCUUCGGGGUUAGUGGCGGACGGGUGAGUAACACGUGGGAACGUGCCUUUAGGUUCGGAAUAGCUCCUGGAAACGGGUGGUAAUGCCGAAUGUGCCCUUCGGGGGAAAGAUUUAUCGCCGUUAGAGCGGCCCGCGUCUGAUUAGCUAGUUGGUGAGGUACUGGCUCACCAAGGCGACGAUCAGUAGCUGGCCUGAGAGGAUGACCAGCCACAUUGGGACUGAGACACGGCCCAAACGCCUACGGGAGGCAGCAGUGGGGAAUCUUGCGCAAUGGGCGAAAGCCUGACGCAGCCAUGCCGCGUGGAUGAUGAAGGUCUUAGGAUUGUAAAAUCCUUUCACCGGUGAAGAUAAUGACUGUAGCCGGAGAAGAAGCCCCGGCUAACUUCGUGCCAGCCGCCGCGGUAACAC